CCCUAGGUUGCCUAUGAUUAGAGGAGUGUGAGGUCUCACUCCCUGACUGCGGGCUUCCUGCCCUGCAGAAACUUUUGGGUCAGUCUCCCCAAUUACUGGGGUAAAAUAUGGUAAGACGGUCCUUGGAGUGUCCUCAGGAGUUUGGGGAUGAAUUCCAGAGAAGAGAGGUGGGUCCAAGUAGCCCACAAGAGGCACAGCAAAGAGAGAAGGGACAGGAGACAGGCUUGCACUCUCAUAUUUGGUGGGACAAGGAUGCCAAAACUUUCCAUGGGCCAAGUGGGCACUGCAGAAGCAAGCCAGGGUGAGCCUUCCUGGAGGGAUUCUGCUAAUGAGGGGCGCUAGCAGGGAAGGGGACCCCAGCUUGCUGAGUAAAAUGUACUUAUCAGGGGCAGGAGGUAAGAGGAGCAGGUUGCAAGAAUUACAGCGGGAGUCAAAUCAGUUUUCUGUAAAGGGCCAUAGGGUAAAUAUUUUUGUCUUUGCCGACCACAUGGUCUCUGUUGCAACUACUCCACCCUGUCCUUGGAUAGCAAAAGCAGCCAUAGGCAAUAUAUAAAUGAAAGACUGUGGCUAUGUUUCAAUACAGAAAGUCUUGAGUUCCACUUCCUGUGAGGAGGAAUAUAAUCUAAUAAUAGAUUAAUUGAAAUUCUGUGUGAGAGAUUUGUUUUUCUUCCCCAUUUAUCCUGUUUAUUCAAUCAUUUUUUAUAUCAGUAUGGGCUCAUGGAUGUUUAUCCUAUGUGUUAUCAUCUAAUAAUGCAGUGUUUAUUUUAUUGCUCAGUUUGUUCUAGCUUUGACCAUGGGAGUUCUUUCAGGUUGGCUCUUGUGUUCCUGUGACUCUUUUUUUUUUUUUUUUUUUUUUUUGGUAGUGAUGGGGUCUCACUGUGUUGCCCAGGGUGGUCUCGAAUGCCUAGCCUCAAAUGAUUCUCCCGUCUUGGCCUCCUCUAUGCUAGGAUUACAGAAGUGAGCCACCAUGCCUGGCCAAUAUAUAUAUUGGCUGGAAUGCAGUGGCACAAUCUUGGCUCACUGCAACCUUCGCCUCCUGGGUUCAAGCGAUUCUCCUGCCUCAGCCUUCCGAGAAGCUGGAAUCACAGGUGCACGCCACCACGCCUGGCUAUUUUGUAUUUUUAGUAGAGACAGGGUUUCACCAUGUUGGCCAGGCUGGUCUCGAACUCCUGACCUCAAGAGAUCCACCCACCUCGGCCACCCACCUCAGCCUCCCGAACUGCUGGGAUUACAG
rnacentral:lncRNA from 1 species